AACGAACGCUGGCGGCAGGCUUAACACAUGCAAGUCGAACGGGCCCUUCGGGGUCAGUGGCAGACGGGUGAGUAACGCGUGGGAACGUGCCCUUCAGUUUGGAAUGACCCAGGGAAACUUGGGCUAAUACCGGAUACGCCCUUCGGGGGAAAGAUUUAUCGCUGAAGGAUCGGCCCGCGUCUGAUUAGCUGGUUGGUGAGGUAAUGGCUCACCAAGGCGACGAUCAGUAGCUGGUCUGAGAGGAUGAUCAGCCACAUUGGGACUGAGACACGGCCCAAACUCCUACGGGAGGCAGCAGUGGGGAAUAUUGGACAAUGGGCGCAAGCCUGAUCCAGCCAUGCCGCGUGAGUGAUGACGGCCUUAGGGUUGUAAAGCUCUUUCGCACGCGACGAUAAUGACGGUAGCGUGAGAAGAAGCCCCGGCUAACUUCGUGCCAGCCGCCGCCGUAAUAC
rnacentral:rRNA from 1 species